CCCAGCCACACUGAAAACAUGGACAAACUUGGAAUCAAAAGCUGCAGGAYAGGACAAUCCAUCUCAGGAACUCCUGAAAAGCAGCAGCUUUAGAUUCAGAGAGGAUUUUUCUACCUUACUACAGCUUUGUCCUAGAGUCACAGAAUUCUAACCACUUUUCUACAAUAAGAAAAUGGUGAGACAUUUCUCAAAUUUCUGAAUAUCGACCAAUUAA
rnacentral:lncRNA from 1 species